CCUACGGGUGGCAGCAGUGGGGAAUAUUGGACAAUGGGCGAAAGCCUGAUCCAGCCAUGCCGCGUGUGUGAAGAAGGCCUUCGGGUUGUAAAGCACUUUCAGUGGGGAAGAAAGCCUUGGGGCUAAUACCCUCGAGGAAGGACAUCACCCACAGAAGAAGCACCGGCUAACUCCGUGCCAGCAGCCGCGGUAAUACGGAGGGUGCGAGCGUUAAUCGGAAUUACUGGGCGUAAAGCGCGCGUAGGCGGUCUGAUAAGCCGGUUGUGAAAGCCCCGGGCUCAACCUGGGAACGGCAUCCGGAGCUGUCAGGCUAGAGUGCAGGAGAGGAAGGUAGAAUUCCCGGUGUAGCGGUGAAAUGCGUAGAGAUCGGGAGGAAUACCAGUGGCGAAGGCGGCCUUCUGGACUGACACUGACGCUGAGGUGCGAAAGCGUGGGUAGCAAACAGGAUUAGAUACCCGAGUAGUC
rnacentral:rRNA from 1 species